AUACGUAGGGGGCGAGCGUUGUCCGGAUUUAUUGGGCGUAAAGGGUUCGUAGGCGGUUAUUUAAGUCAGAUGUGAAAGGCACAGGCUUAACCUGUGUAAGCAUUUGAAACUGGAUAACUUGAGUUAAGGAGAGGAAAGUGGAAUUCCUAGUGUAGCGGUGAAAUGCGUAGAUAUUAGGAGGAAUACCAGUGGCGAAGGCGACUUUCUGGACUUAUACUGACGCUGAGGAACGAAAGCGUGGGGAGCAAACAGGAGUAGAUACCCUGGUAGUCCACGCCGUAAACGAUGAGUGCUAGGUGUGGGGGGUCAAACCUCGGUGCCGCAGCUAACGCAUUAAGCACUCCGCCUGGGGAGUACGUACGCAAGUAUGAA
rnacentral:rRNA from 1 species